UACGGAGGGGACUAGCGUUGUUCGGAAUUACUGGGCGUAAAGCGCACGUAGGCGGAUUUGUAAGUCAGGGGUGAAAUCCCGGGGCUCAACCUCGGAACUGCCUUUGAUACUGCAAAUCUCGAGUCCGGAAGAGGUGAGUGGAAUUCCUAGUGUAGAGGUGAAAUUCGUAGAUAUUAGGAAGAACACCAGUGGCGAAGGCGGCUCACUGGUCCGGUACUGACGCUGAGGUACGAAAGCGUGGGGAGCAAACAGG
rnacentral:rRNA from 1 species